rnacentral:rRNA from 1 species
GCGGAGGAACAUGUGGUUUAAUUCGAUGAUACGCGAGGAACCUUACCCGGGCUUAAAUUGCAGAUGAAUUGCGGUGAAAGCCGUAAGCCGCAAGGCAUCUGUGAAGGUGCUGCAUGGUUGUCGUCAGCUCGUGCCGUGAGGUGUCGGCUUAAGUGCCAUAACGAGCGCAACCCUUGUUGUCAGUUACUAACAGGUUCCGCUGAGGACUCUGACAAGACUGCCAUCGUAAGAUGUGAGGAAGGUGGGGAUGACGUCAAAUCAGCACGGCCCUUACGUCCGGGGCUACACACGUGUUACAAUGGGGGGUACAGAGGGCCGCUACCACGCGAGUGGAUGCCAAUCCCCAAAACCUCUCUCAGUUCGGACUGGAGUCUGCAACCCGACUCCACGAAGCUGGAUUCGCUAGUAAUCGCGCAUCAGCCACGGCGCGGUGAAUACGUUCCCGGGCCUUGUACACACCGCCCGUCAAGCCAUGGGAGCCGGGGGUACUUGAAGUGCGUAACCGCGAGGAGCGCCCUAGGGUAAAACUGGUGACUGGGGCUAAGUCGUAACAAGGUAGCCGUACCGGAAGGUGCGGCUGGAUCACCUCCA